UACAGAGGGAGCUAGCGUUGUUCGGAAUUACUGGGCGUAAAGGGCGCGUAGGCGGUUUUUCAAGUCAGAUGUGAAAUACCUGGGCUUAACCUGGGAACGGCAUUUGAAACGGGAAGACUAGAGUUCAGAAGAGGAAAGUGGAAUUCCUAGUGUAGAGGUGAAAUUCGUAGAUAUUAGGAGGAACACCAGUGGCGAAGGCGGCUUUCUGGUCUGACACUGACGCUGAGGCGCGAAAGCGUGGGGAGCAAAC
rnacentral:rRNA from 1 species